rnacentral:misc_RNA from 1 species
GCUUCCCGAACGCACAUACAAGGCGUGAAAACCGCUCGCGGUGUGUUGCACCGUCACUGUGCCCUCCCCUUUUCCUCGGGCUUCGCGUGCCGCGCGCACAUCUUCUUGGUCCUUCGCUUCUCAUCAGCGUCACCACGUCGUCGUCUCUACGAUCCCUUCGCGCGACCGGCCCCCUCGAAAGGGCUCCCGACGCACUUGUGAAGGCUAUCCGUGCGUUCACGACCUUGGACUGCACCGCUUCGCCGGAACCCCACCCAUCCCCCGGCCUGAGCACCGCGUCCUUUGACGUCUCGUCAUCACUGUCCUACCCCCGCCACUCUUCCAGCAGCCUCCUGUCUCCCGCCGACGCGCGCGCACACGCCAUGCCGUCGAAGAAGACGUCCGCCGGGGGCGCCAAGAAGAACACGUCGACGGCUGCGACCCGUAGCAACCGACACGCGCACCCGCAAGCAGACAUCGGCUUCCUGCCGCCAGGUGCGAAGUACCCAGCUGAGGCUUCCUGGAACCACCACGAGCACCAGCAGCGAAACUCGGCCUCCUAUGGCAAGCAGGAGGGCCACGACCGCAACAACGACUUCGACUACCGCUUCGAGCAGCACAUCUUCGUGCCGUCGCGGCUGCGUCGCGUGCCGGCGGCGCUCGUCGAGGCCGUCAACGACUUCCACUAUGCGAUGAUGAACGAUCUGCCGCGCAACGAGUUCUACUACAACAUGCUGAAGAAGCACAUCGUGCCUGGCGAGUCGGGCGUGCUCGAGAUCGGCGCCGGGUCGGGUCUGCUGUCGAUGAUGGCGGCGAAGUUGAAUGCGAAGUGGGUCGUGGCGGUGGAGGGGUCGUCGGAGAUGGCGUCGCUGGCGCGUUCAAACAUCGCAACGAACGGGCUGCAGGACAAGGUCAAGGUGCUGAACAUGCUAAGCACGGAGUUGACACCGCGUGAUCUGCCGGAGCCGCCGAGCAUCCUCGUCUCCGAGAUCUUCGGCACACUGCUGCUCGGCGAGAGCGCGCUCGACUACAUUGCGGAUGCCCGCCAGCGCCUACUUCCGAAGACAGCGAAGAUUCUGCCGCAGCACGGCGUGCAGUACGCCGUGCCCAUCGAGUGCGAGACGCUGGGCCAAAUCUGCGCCGUCUCCAGCUGGAACGGCAUCGACCUCUCGCACGUCAUGGCGCUUCAGGACACGACGAGCGUCGUCUUCACCAAGCAGUACGGCUUCCGCAUGAGCUCCGUGCCAUUCCGCCGCCUCGCCGACCCCAUCCCGCUGCUGACAAUCGACUUUGCUGAGACGAAGCGCAGCACUUUCAAGAAGGUCUUCCCGGUGGAGGUGCCGGCAACGGCGAGCGGGACGGCGCAUGCGUGGCUCUUCUACUGGAUCUCCACCGACGGCGAGGAGGUGAUGUCGACGGCACCCGAGGAUACUCUGCACAACUUCUCGCGCGACAUGCAGUGGGGCCAGGCGCUGCAGCUCAUCGAUGCCGGCACGAACUCGCACACACCGACCGCGCUGUCGAUGUCCACGGGUGAGUCUUACAAGUUUGAGUGUGCGCUGUCAAGCGACCGCGUCGUCAUGAGUCUAAAGUACACCGGCAGCAGCAGUGCAGCAGCACUGCUGAAGGCGGACGCCAACGAGGCAGAGAAGCGGCGCGAGACAGAGAGCGAGCAGCAGCGACGGCCGCCGAGCGAGUGAUGAUGAAAGCAGCAGCACUCAGCCAAGCGAACAAACGGAAACAAACUCACGCUUGACGUAUGUGAGUGCAACACCUGCCGGCCUGCUGCCCCUCUCCCUCCCUUCCGCCCACUUUCUACGCAGUCGCAGAUGCGCGCACGCACGCACACACGCAGGCGCACCUGAGGCAUCGCGGCAUCGCUAAGAACAUGCUAAUGCACUCGAAGAACGGUUAACAGCUGUAAACACGAAGAGAACGAAACUCGAUGUGGACAAGACGUGCGAGGGAGACGCACGGAAGACGUGAGGAGCGGGCGGAGGGGCAACGACGGAACCGCGUGCGUGUGCACCCGCGUGCCACAGACGCACUCGACCGCACCUCUGACCCCCCUCCCGCUCUUCGAUGCACCGCCGCAGCCCCCACCCACCCCUCCUCUGGCACUUUCUCGUGCAGAACGCCUCGACGGACCGCACUCGGUUUGCCUUCUUGCCACGCGGGGUAGGCGAAAGGGGGGGGGGAGGCGCGCAGCAUCCACAGAUGGACAGCCUCUUUCGUGGGUGCCUGCACGUGCGUGACACGACCGCCCGCCUCUCUCUGUUUAGGCACGGCCUCAUGCCUUCGGUGGUGUGCACCGGCCCAACCGACAUUGACUCUUGCCUUGCACACUCCACUCUCCGCACUCUCUCUUUCUCGACAUCCGCAGAUGUCUUUUACUGUGUAUAACGACGAGAGGUGAGCCCGCGUGUUGUCUGCGUGCGCGCGUACGAUUUCUCCAAACACGCACCGACGCCACGCAGAAGCGCCCAGACAUAAGUGUGACGACGGCUCAGCAAACUGAAAACACGUUGGCAAGGCGAGUACGCUGCCACCCGCUCCACACCGUUGCCCUCGGCUGCAUCUGCGCACACGCACAGAUGCAGCCAAAGUAGGGAAAGAGCCGGCUAAUGCUUGAGCGUGUGGGCGGAGGCCGCAGGGAACACUUUUUCGGAGGGGGAGGGACGAGGACUUCCUUACUCGCCUGUCUUUCUCCCGACUCGUGGUGUGCGUGCA